UACGUAGGGGGCAAGCGUUGUCCGGAUUUAUUGGGCGUAAAGAGCGUGUAGGCGGCCUUACAGGUCAGCUGUGAAAACUCGAGGCUCAACCUCGAGACGUCGGUUGAAACCGUAAGGCUAGAGUCCGGAAGAGGAGAGUGGAAUUCCCGGUGUAGCGGUGAAAUGCGCAGAUAUCGUAAGGAAGACCAGUGGCGGAAGGCGGGUCUCUGGACAGUUCCUGGACGCUGAGGCACGAAGCCAGGGGAGCGAAACGGG
rnacentral:rRNA from 1 species